rnacentral:rRNA from 1 species
AGAGUAUAUGGCGGAUGCCUAGACUAAAAAAGGCGAUGAAAGACGUAGCAUGGCGGCGAUACGUUUCGGGGAGGUGCCUAGCAACCUUUGAUCCGGAAAUUUCUGAAUGGGGAAACCCCUCUAAGUAACCCUGAGCAUACCAAGGGAAGUAAAACAUUUCAGUACCUUGAGGAAAAGAGAAAAAUAUUUAUUUUCUGAGUAGCGGCGAGCGAAAAGGAAAGAGCCCAAACCCGCACACUUACUUUGCCAUUGUUUUUUUUGUUCUGUUUUAAUUGUAUUACUAAAAAUAAUAUUGUUAAUUUAGAAUAAUAAAAUAAUGAAAUUUUGUUUUGAAAAAACAGAACGAUGGUAAAGUAAGUGUGCGGGGGUUGUAAGGUGACAAUGUAGAUUUAUCUAGAGAAGUUACAAAGUAUGUUAUUAGAUUAAACUUCUGGAAAGGAGUGCCGUAGACGGUGAUACUUCUUGAUUGUCAUUCUUGAGUAACUCAAGACAUGAAUAGCUUGAGCGAAUCCACCAGAACUAACUGGUAAGGCUAAAUACUUUUUUAGAUCGAUAGUGAACUAGUACCGUGAGGGAAAGGUGAAAAGAACCCCGAUGAGGGGAGUGAAAUAGACCUGAAACCAUAUACUUACAAGGAGUCGGAGCGGACGUAUUUAUACGAUCCGUCACGGCGUGCCUAUUGAAGAAUGAGCCAACGAGUUUAUCUAUGCUGCAGGCUAAGCUGUUAGAACAGUGGAGCCUUAGGGAAACCGAGUGUUAAUAGCGCGAACAAUUAAUGUAGUCUAGAUAAGACCCGAAGCGAGGUGAGCUUGCCAUGAGCAGGAUGAAGUUUGUCGAAAGAUAGAUGGAGGUCCGAACCGGUGACCCGUGCAAUAGUCUCGGAUGACUUGUGGUAAGGAGUGAAAAGCUAAUCGAACCUCGUAAUAGCUGGUUCUCUCCGAAAUAGCUUUAGGGCUAGCGUUGUGUGUUCCUCUUGGGGGUAGAGCACUGGAAGAUUUCGACAGGGAGCAAUCUCGCGACAUCUAUCAAACUCCGAAUACCAAGAGCUAAAAGCACAGCAGUUAGGCUAUGGGGGCGAAGCUCCAUCAGCCAAAAGGGAAACAGCCCAGAUCUCUAAUUAAGGUCCCUAAAUAUAUACUAAGUGCGUAUGAAGGAGGUGAAAUUUCUCUGACAGUGAGGAUGUUGGCUUAGAAGCAGCCAUCAUUUAAAGAAAGCGUAACAGCUCACUCACUAAGAGAUUUCGCACCGAAAAUAAUCGGGGCUAAGUAUAUUACCGAAAUUGAGGGCUUCCAAUUUUUUAAAAUCGGGAGCGGUAGGAGAGUAUUCCACUCAGCGUCGAAGCCAAAGAGGUGACUCAUGGUGGAGCGUGUGGAAGUAAGAAUGUUGGCACAAGUAACCGCAAGGUAGGUGAGAUCCCUACCCGCCGAAAGAUCAAGGUUUCCUGGGCAAUGAUUAUCAUCCCAGGGUUAGUCGGUCCUAAGGGGAUGGCGAAAGCCGCACCCGAUGGGCACAUGGUUAAUAUUCCAUGACUUCUGUUGUAUCCGAUGAUAGGACGGAGUGUAGUAUAUAAAGCUCAUUAUUGGAUUUGAGUAUGUUAGUAAGGAUGUCUCUUAGGAAAAUCCGGGAGAUGACGUAAAAGUAACAUCCAAGCAAUAGAUUUUAUAAAGCACGCUUCCAAGAAAAGUAUCUAAGGUUAAUGCAAUAGAAUCCGUACCGCAAACCGACACAGGUGAUCAGGUCGAGUAGACCAAGGCGAACGAGUGAGAGGUCUUCAAGGAACUCGGCAAAAAAGCAGCCGUAACUUUGGAAUAAGGCUUGCCAUUCUUAAUUUAUUAAGUUUGUGGCAACUGUUUAUCAAAAACACAGCUCCCUGCGAACUCGCAAGAGGAUGUAUAGGGGGUGACACCUGACCAAUGCCAGAAGGUCAAAUAUCGGUGGUGAUAUGUCUUCGGAUGUAUUGCUGGCUGAUAUAAGCCCUGGUGAAUGUCGGCCGUAACUAUAGACAAAACCGUUGUAGUUACGCAAAAAAAUCUUGCCAAAUGCUGGAAACUCUGGGUCCAAUUUAUAUUGGAUAAAAAAGUAUUGAUUAGUACGAGCACUCGUCGAAGUUGCCGUGACAAUCUAAUCAAGCAGACAAUCAGCAGGAAAGACUUCUACUAUAAAAAAUUUCUAAAUGAAUCAAGAAGAAAAAUGGCUUAAAAAUAUUAGUCCAAAAGAUGGAUAUUAUAUAGCUGGUUUUACUGACGGGGAGGGAAGCUUCAAUGUUUCUCUCAAAAAAAGAAAUGAUUAUAUAGGAGAAUGGAAAAUAACAGCUUCGUUUAAUAUUUCUCAAAAAGAUAGGGUAAUACUUGCUUGGAUUAAAAAAAUCCUUGGAUGUGGCACUCUACGAGAAAGACCAGAUGGAGUUGUAUAUUAUGAAGUAACAAAUGUUUCUUCAUUAAUAGAAAAGAUUAUUCCAUUCUUUGUUAAAUUCAACUUUAUUUCUUCAAAGAAAAAGACAAAUUUUUCAAUUUUUAAACAAAUUGUUGAAAUUAUGUCUAAAGGGGAACAUCUCAAAAAAGAAGGAUUUGAAAAAAUUAUUCUUUUAAGAGAAACUCUCAAUGAGGGAAAAGGAAGAAAAAGGAAAUACAAUUUAUCAGAUGUGAUAAAAGUAGAAGAAUCCUCAGAGACUAAACGCAAGACGGUUUUAAAUCAAUAAUUGGAGUCGACGAUUUAAAAACGAUGAUAUAGUCCGAUCUCUAUGGCGACAUAGAGCUAACACGUUUUAGUUUUAAUUUGAUAAACAAAAAUAUAGUACACACAUUCAAUCUUAAGAAAAGAACGGUCCUAAGGUAGCGAAGUACCUUGUCGGGUAAGUUCCGACGCGCACGAAUGGUGUAAUGACUGGAGAACUGUCUCGAAGACCUGCUCGGUGA